CGUAGGGUGCGAGCGUUAAUCGGAAUUACUGGGCGUAAAGCGUGCGCAGGCGGUUAUAUAAGACAGAUGUGAAAUCCCCGGGCUCAACCUGGGAACUGCAUUUGUGACUGUAUAGCUAGAGUACGGCAGAGGGGGAUGGAAUUCCGCGUGUAGCAGUGAAAUGCGUAGAUAUGCGGAGGAACACCGAUGGCGAAGGCAAUCCCCUGGGCCUGUACUGACGCUCAUGCACGAAAGCGUGGGGAGCAAACAGGAUUAGAUACCCUGGUAGUCCACGCCCUAAACGAUGUCAACUGGUUGUUGGGUCUUCACUGACUCAGUAACGAAGCUAACGCGUGAAGUUGACCGCCUGGAGAGUACGGCCGCAAGGUUG
rnacentral:rRNA from 1 species